rnacentral:rRNA from 1 species
GACGAACGCUGGCGGCGUGCUUAACACAUGCAAGUCGAACGGACAGACCCUGCUUUUGUUGGGUGCUCGAGUGGCGAACGGGUGUGUAACACGCGUGUAACCUGCACUUGUCUUUGGGAUAACUUCAGGAAACUGGGGCUCAUACCGCAUAGGAGCUCCUGCAGCACGGUGUGGGUUGGAAAGAUUCGGCGGUUGGGGAUGUACUCGCGGGUUAUCAGCUUGUUGGUGGGGUAGUGGCUGACCAAGGCUUUGACGGGUAGCCGGCCUGAGAGGGUGACCGGCCACAUUGGGACUGAGAUACGGCCCAGACUGCUACGGGAGGCAGCAGUGGGGAAUAUUGCACAAUGGGCGGAAGCCUGAUGCAGCAACGCCGCGUGCGGGAUGACGGCCUUCGGGUUGUAAACCGCUUUCGCCUGUGACGAAGCGUGAGUGACGGUAAUGGGUAAAGAAGCACCGGCUAACUACGUG